rnacentral:rRNA from 1 species
CGGACGGGUGAGUAAUACAUAGGAAUCUAUCCAGUAGCUGGGGAUAACGUGGGGAAACUCACGCUAAUACCGAAUACGCACUACGGUGGAAAGAGGGGGAUCUUCGGACCUCUCACUAUCGGGUGAGCCUAUGCCGGAUUAGCUAGUUGGUGGGGUAAAAGCCUACCAAGGCGACGAUCCGUAGCUGGUCUGAGAGGACGAUCAGCCACACUGGGACUGAGACACGGCCCAG